rnacentral:rRNA from 1 species
AUUGAACGCUGGCGGCAGGCCUAACACAUGCAAGUCGAGCGGAUGACGGGAGCUUGCUCCUUGAUUCAGCGGCGGACGGGUGAGUAAUGCCUAGGAAUCUGCCUGGUAGUGGGGGACAACGUUUCGAAAGGAACGCUAAUACCGCAUACGUCCUACGGGAGAAAGCAGGGGACCUUCGGGCCUUGCGCUAUCAGAUGAGCCAAGGUCGGAUUAGCUAGUAGGUGAGGUAAUGGCUCACCUAGGCGACGAUCCGUAACUGGUCUGAGAGGAUGAUCAGUCACACUGGAACUGAGACACGGUCCAGACUCCUACGGGAGGCAGCAGUGGGGAAUAUUGGACAAUGGGCGAAAGCCUGAUCCAGCCAUGCCGCGUGUGUGAAGAAGGUCUUCGGAUUGUAAAGCACUUUAGGUUGGGAGGAAGGGCAGUAAGCUAAUACCUUGCUGUUUUGACGUUACCGACAGAAUAAGCACCGGCUAACUCUGUGCCAGCAGCCGCGGUAAGAC